GAAUUUUUCUCUUAUCUUCUCCACCGCUCAAGCUCCUCUACUUCUUAUCCACGCUGCCCAUUAUUUCUUAGAAGCUACGGACCUCAUUUCUCCUUCAUCCUCGUCUCUUCCUCAAGCUCCAGCCGAACUCCCUCACGCCAUCCUCUUCCCUGGCGUUCAUCCCUACGGCAGCCACCACUUGGGCGCUCCUCUCCCUGCCCUCCCAUGGCGGCUCCCCCUGGAUCCCUCCCUGCGAGGACCCUCUCCCGUGGAUGGUGUCGUCCCUUCCUGCAGCACACCGUGCUCCCUCCCAUGGCCGAUGCCCCUCUCUGGAGCUCGCCCCUGCCCUCUGUCCAGCGCCCUCCCUGCUUGCCGUUCCUAUCCCCCUGCAAUGGAGUUCGUCGUCAGUCCGAGCUCGCCCAUCCUCUGCUCGGUUUCAACUUGGUCGUGCCUGCAGACCGCUCCCUUUACUGCUGCAGCAGGUCAGCGCCCCUCUGUUUUUUUUUUCCAUAGUUGCGCACCUAUCUGUAGCAGCCCCUCGCUGCCGGACAUCAUCCGGUAGUCCCGCACCAUCCGCACCCGUAUGGUGUUUGAUAAAAUGUUCAAGUGGAGUGUUGUGUCAUGGACAACUCUAUUAGCGGCGUGGGAUGUUUGGUAUUUUCGCAGCCUAUCUGCGACACCGUCGACCCCCGGUGAGGUCCUGUUCUUGCCCUAUCGUUUUAGCGCUCGACGUCGAUUACUAAUGUGUGAAUUGUGUGUGUUGAUGAGGGAGUUAACCGAUAAAGAAGCGAGGUCCGUGCGAUGUUUGCCAAGUGUUUGAUGGAAGGUCCGAACCGGGAACCUCGCCUUUCUCGCGCAUCUUCUGGUCGGUUUGUGAAUUGGUACGCUAGAUGAUUAUGCGAUAUGAAGGGCAUGGACUAGACUGGACCACAAGAUGAUAUUGACGGACCAACCUCAAGAUGGAUGAUCUGACCCAGUGCCAGGAUAGGAGGUGCUCGCCAAGCGAGUAUCAUCUAACAACACUGACGUAGUGUUAUUCUAGGCAAGCCCCGGUGCAUUUGCCACCUUCCUUGUGUUUUCAAAAUUUUAUCACUUAUAUGUUGCAUUAGGUGAUAGAAGUUGAGUGAUUAAACACUUGAUGCAUUACCAUCCUUGAAAGGUUGAUUACCACACCUUGUCAUCCGUUUUAUAAAAGCUAGAGAUGCUUAGUCUUGCUGAUAGAUUAAGAAACAUAUUUUUGAUCUAUGACUCAUGUUUUUUACAAAAAAGAAAAUGGGCUUGGGAUAAUGAAGGCAUCAAGACAUUGAUAAAUUCAUUAUCCAGGCAUGGCCCCUCUGUCAGGCGCCAAAUUUUUGAAAUAGUUUAAAAUGGGACCAGACGUUGAGCAGAAAAGGUCGCCCGUCUAUGUCGAUUAAGGACCGUACUGAUUGUUGGUCUGAUGAUCUAGGACCUUUUAACUGGCCACAUACAUCGUCAUGGGUAAACCUGAACCCGACUAUUCCAUACGUGAAAAGACAGCCGCGCACUGGGUGUGGGAGAUGGUGGGAGUAGCAGUUACCCUCCUGGCAAGAGGCUGGAUGGUAGGGUAAUGUGCUCCCGGGUAGCGCAAACCGGUUCAUGUAGUGAAGGAUCCGUGGGAAUGGUUGACAUAUGCAAGGGUUAAGUGCUACAUAUGUCGUGUGGUUGGAGAUCCCCAGCUAGGUAUUAAUCGAUUUGGAUCGCCGUUACUUCUCGGAUAUGAAGACUGGAUCGCUGCCCUUCAUCGUAGAUAACAAGCGAAACAAAAAUUUGAUUUUAAAAGAAAGCUAGUAUAGGACAAGUGAAAGCUCUAGAUCAGGCAAAUCUAGAAUUAGAAAAGAACUCAACUUGCUAAAUAAAAUUUUGGCUUAAGGAUCCAGUAUUAGUAGUAUUAGUAAGCUCUUCUGCAAAAAUGAGUCUUUGAACUUGAUAAGCUAUACCUUGAAUCCUUUUAACCCAGCAUGCCCUUGAGAGUCUUUUCUUUAGUCGGGUAAGUCUUGCUAAGUAAUUGUGUACUCAGGGUUUUAUUCCAUGUUGUUUUUCAGGUUGUAAUUUUGUUCUAUUGUGGAUGGUGCUAAGUGCCGGUGGGCUCGGCCUUCUUAUAUAAGUAUAUCCCAUCUUUAACUUCUUUAUUGAGGAUUGUCACUUAAGCUAGCAUGUAUUUUAAAAUUUACAAAUACUUUAUAACAUUUCAAAUUGUAAUUCUUUUGAAACACUUUCUUUGUAAUCACUCCGAUGAGGUAUAAUAAAAUCUUGAUAAACUUGUAAUCA